UAAAUAAAUAUAAUUAAGUAUUAAAAGAAGUUAUACAAAGUUCAAGAAAUACAAAAUACACACUAUUAAAUCCAUGAAAAUUCAAAAUACACGUUUCACGAAUUAUAAGGAGAAACCUAAACAUCCAAAUUAUUCAUAUACUAAUUACAUACGGUUAAAUGUGUUUUAUUAAGAGAAAAGGCAUAAUUUUCUUCUAAAUUUGCUAUGAAAAGUCAGUUAUAUGCUUAUACUAUUGUGAUGAUCUAUUACACAUCUAAAUUAUUUAAAAGUGAAUUUAUUUCAAGCCCGAUGCACAUACAACCAAACGCAAAAUGAGAAAGUGCUUCUCGGGAUCCUUGGCAGCCUUUUUCGCUUCUUUAGUCUUGACAACUUCCUUCUUCACUCCGUGCAUGUUAUCAGCUUUGGCUUCGGAUUUACCUAUCAUCAUGAAUCCUCCAGUGUUGAGAAAAUGAACAAGAGGGAGAAGAACAAAGAGAUAUUCCUAUUGCAUUGUGGGGUGGUGAAGUGAGUGUGGCCUGAAAAGAAAGGGAUAAGAAGGCCUUCCGGGAAGGACUCAAAGGAAAUCUCAUACUUAUAGUCACGAUGAUAUACGAGUCUGUAACUACGCUUGUGCAGAACUAGCAGACUUGAUACAACUACAAGAGCAAUUAGGAGUUAACCCAAUUUGUCGGGGUAUGGUUAUUUAGUAUGCAUCAUUGUGUCUCAUCGAUCUUGUGCAUCCCUAGCUAUACUGAAAACAAUUAAAUAUACUAAAUGUAUAAAGGGCUCGAUGCAAAAAGCAUGGAUAUCCCCAAUUUUCUGGAGCCACGGGAUGGGUGAACGUUUUCUUCCUCAGAGUCUGAUAAUACUAUUAGCUGCAUAAAGACUCUCUUCGCUUCUUUAGUCUCUGGAGUUAUCUUCAUCAGGCCAAGCAUGUUAUCAUCUUUGGCAUGGGAUUUACCUCCUUUCAUGAUGAACCAGAGUGAGACAAAAAAACAGAUGAGAUCAGUGCAGGCUGAAAUCGAAGGGUUAAGAAGACUAUGCAGGGGAGGAACUCAAAGGGAAUCUCAUACUUAAUAGUCAGGACUCACGAUGAUAUAAGAGUCUUUAACUAGGCUAAAAGAGUGACUUAUGUUUCCGAAAUAGCAAACUUGAUACAAGAAACAACAGUAGUUAGGACUUAACCCCAAGUAGUCAUGAGUAUGAUCUAUAUGCAACCGAUUGUUUUCAUUGUGUCUACCAUAGAUUCUAGUUCAUGCUCAGAUUAACUGAAAACAAUUUAAACAUACCAAAUUUAUAAAGAGGUGAACCUUACCUCGACGUGAAUAACAUGGAUUUCCCCCAUCUUUGGAGCCACGGGAUGGAUCCACCCUCUCUUCUUCAGAAUCUAAUAGAAUUACUGGCUCCAUUUUUACUUCAUUCACUUUGUUAGUCUCAGGAGCUUUGGCAUCAGAUUUCGCUACUUUCAUGAUGAAACCAGACAGAGACAAACAAAGAGGUAAGCCCUAGCUGAGUUACUACAAAGGGCUUCAGGGAGAGAAUCAAAGGUAAUCUCAUACAUACACUCUGUAACUAGGUUCAGAAAUGGCAAAAUUCAACAAAACUAGAACUUAACCCUAAUCAGUCUCUGCAUCGUUUGUUCACAUAGUAAACAAAAAACAACAAAAUAUACCAAACGUAUAAACUAGAAAGAGAUCAAGGUUAUGUAAAUUUGAAUAGCAUGAAUUUCCCCCUUCUUUAGAGUCACCCCCUUUUUCCUGAUAACUGCACUGCCUCCAUUUUAACUAACUUCAAUUUUCAUAAAGCUUCAUUGUUCUCUUCAACAUUUUCUACCUCAUCCUCAGAACUGCUAAGCUCCUCAAAAUGUGUAAUUUUGGUAAGACUUCUCUUUGAGUAUAGCAGGACUUGGAAGGUGGACUUGUUGAUGAGAAAAAAGAUCAACGUGUCUCCUACCUCCAACUUGUGAUGCAACACAAACUGUGGCCAGUCUCCUUCACAUACGAAAUAAUCAGAUGCCACCUUCACUAUCUUGGCUUCCCCAAUAUAGUCCUUCAUCCGUUUUCGGUAAGGCUGUCUUGGCCAACAUCUUCUUGUGUUCUUUGACAAAAGCAGCCGGCAUUCGCUAACAAGAUUAGGAAAACUCAGUUACAAAGAAAACAGAGCAAGAAUAUAGUGUAGAUGGGAACUCUUAAAAGAAAAAAACUUACUAUUUUAUCGAUAAAGCCUUGUUCAAGAAGAUCGGAGAAAGAUGGAAGCUUGUUGUUGGGAACCACUGCCAUUGUAAUGAAACUAAGAAACAGGAAAUAAGAGAAGAGGAGAAAAAAAUGCUUAAUAUGUUGGCUCACUAUUGUCAGUUUGUUACUGCACCAUUUCACGUUACACACUCACUCAGACACAGUGUGUGAGGCCAUCUUUCAGUUUGUUACUACUGCCCAGCUGUCUGUCCUCUGUUACUUUCUUCCACAAUUUUGUUUUCUUUUUCUGACAAGUGUCAUUCCUCACUCUUUCUUGUAUUUAAAUUUUGAUAUCCGAAAAAUGUCUCGUAAAUUAGGACGGAUAAAAGAGUAUUUUGUAGGGAAGUUUUCAUAAAUGAUUAUUGUUUGGGUCUAAUUAACUACUCGUAACUAGGGCUGUUUAAAACGGGACCAAAUUGAUAGCAGGGACUCACUCCUCACACAACCAUUGUGUAUGUAAUGUGAAAUGCUGCAUUAACAACAGCAACAACUUCACCAACACCAGUUUUCCUCUCUUUUUUCUCUUCUUCUUGCUGUCAUUUCAAUUUUGCAAAAUGGAGAAAUCCGACAACAAGCAUCCAUCUUUCUCCAAUCUACUUGAACAAGGCUUUUAUCGAUAAAAUCGUAAGUUUUUUUUCCUUAAAAUUCUAUUUAUUUCUUUCUGAAAUGUGAGUUUUCCUAAACUUGAUGAUCCGCACUUGUUAGCGACUGCCGGCUGCUUUUGUCAAAGAACACAAGAAGAUGUUGGCCAAAAAAUGGAUGACGGGAUGUCUUGGGAAGCUAAGAUAGUGAGGGAGGCGUCUGAUUAUUUUAUAUGUGAAGGAGACUAGCGAUGGUUUGUGGUGUAUAACAAGUUGGAGUUCGGGGACAUGUUGAUCUUCUAUCUUGUUGAGAAAUCAACCUUUCAUGUCCUGCAUUACUCCAAGAAACCUCGUACCAACAUUCGACAUUUUGAAGAACUCAGCUCCGAGGAUGAGGUAGAAAAUGUUGAAGAGAAAGAGGAUGAGGAAGAAAACGUUGAAGCUUCAAGAAAAUCUAAGAAAGUGAAAACAGAGCCAAAAGAAUCGUCAGGUAAGUGUAGCAUCCAUUUCUUUAUGCACUUCGGUUCGUAUUUUGUGUACAAGCUAUGAAGGAAAUUAAAUUAGUUGAUAAAUACUUUCUUGAAAGUUCAUGGUACACCGUCCACCGAGUCGGAUGAUGAUUCUACAGAUAUCCUAGAUGGUACUCCAACAAGCAACAGAUCAGGGAAAACAAAAAUUUCAGACAUGGUUGUGCAUUCUGUUGAAAACCUAGGCCAUUGUCCAUUAGGACAGUCCAGCAAAAUGUAAAGACAAGGAGAUACAGAGGAUGAUGUUUCACUUGACAUUCAUAUCAAAAGAAUGGAGAGUGAGAAGAAGCUAGAGGGUGUUGCUUCACCUCCUUUCACAAUUGUGGACCAAUUAAGUAAGUAUUUUGAUCUUCUCUGAUUUGCUAUCUAUGAACACAAACUUCAUAUCAGUCAUCUAGCUUGUUAGAUGUAUGUUUUCCGUGUGAAGCAAUCGACAAUGAAGGCUGCAAGAUGCAGAGUCAACAAUCCAGUGUAAUUUAUGAUGUGCGCAAGACAGUAAUGGAUAAAGAGAAGGCUAUAGCAUAUCAAAGAGCAAAAGCUACUUUCAAGUCAAAAAAUCCAUUCUUUAUAUCUUUUAUGCAUCCUUCGUAUAUCUCCAGAUCGAGCAAUCAUCUGUGCAUAAUGUUGAGAUUUGCUAGGACAUAUAUCCCAGAAAACUGCAGCAACAUAAUGCUUCGUGUUGCAGGCAGGGGAUCUUGGCCUGUCACAUACUCUACGGGAAAAGCACAAGCUAAAAUUAGCAUUGGCUGGGAAGCGUUCGUGCUUGACAAUAAGUUAAAAGUAGGUGAUGUUUGUGUUUUUGAAGUUAUUAAAGGCACUCAGAUCUUCAUGAAUGUCACUAUAUUUCGCGCAGCAGGGAGCAUGCCAAUGCAGGAAACUGAUGGGCAGUUUGUAGUUAGUUUUCAUUAGGAUAUAUGUAGUUUGGAAUGAAGUUAGAAUUACGUAGCAAAUCUUGAAGGAAGGUUGCUAAAUUUAGCUCGAUGUGAAAUUAAAACGAGCUAUUAUGUUCUAUGUUUCAGCCUUGCCUUUCUGACAAAGUUUCAUUUAUUUUUCCUUUUUAUAAUGCCUAUUGUUGGUUUUGAAUCCUACAUUCACCUUAAACCUGAAUGGAAGGUUAUUUAUAACAAUUUUCAAAAAGAUUCAAAGGAACUAAAGGGCUUAGCCAACACCAUAUACACGAUAUACCUUUAUAUUAACUCGAUUCACUUAAGUAACGUAACCUAUGUUGCUUAGACUUUUCAAAAAUGUUAAUGGGCGAGUGUUAGGAUCCUUCCAAAGUAGUGCAUUUUCAGAGGAUCCAACACAACGCAACAACAUUUUUGGAGUGUUCGAGCAACAUCGAGUGUGACAGAUCCAUUAAAAAGAAGGUUCCGUGGGAUUCUGGCAAGAAAGAAAUGGAACUAGCAGUUAAAAUUUUGUUAUGAAAAAAUAAAGGCCUCAGAAUAUGAAAUUACGUAAAUUACUCAACAAAAAACAGUCAUACUUGAACAGCUUAUACAGCAUCAAAAGACAAUCAAGCUAUAAGCAGAAAUGAUCAAAAGA